rnacentral:rRNA from 1 species
AACGAACGCUGGCGGCAUGCCUAACACAUGCAAGUCGAACGAGACCUUCGGGUCUAGUGGCGCACGGGUGCGUAACGCGUGGGAACCUGCCUUUAGGUUCGGAAUAACUCAGAGAAAUUUGAGCUAAUACCGGAUAAUGUCUUCGGACCAAAGAUUUAUCGCCUUUAGAUGGGCCCGCGUUGGAUUAGCUAGUUGGUGGGUAAAGGCCUACCAAGGCGACGAUCCAUAGCUGGUCUGAGAGGAUGAUCAGCCACACUGGGACUGAGACACGGCCCAGACUCCUACGGAGGCAGCAGUGGGGAAUAUUGGACAAUGGGCGAAAGCCUGAUCCAGCAAUGCCGCGUGAGUGAUGAAGGCCUUAGGGUUGUAAAGCUCUUUUACCCGAGAUGAUAAUGACAGUAUCGGAGAAUAAGCUCCGGCUAACU